rnacentral:rRNA from 1 species
GACGAACGCUGGCGGCGUGCCUAAUACAUGCAAGUAGAACGCUGAAGAGAGGAGCUUGCUCUUCUUGGAUGAGUUGCGAACGGGUGAGUAACGCGUAGGUAACCUGCCUUGUAGCGGGGGAUAACUAUUGGAAACGAUAGCUAAUACCGCAUAACAAUGGAUGACACAUGUCAUUUAUUUGAAAGGGGCAAUUGCUCCACUACAAGAUGGACCUGCGUUGUAUUAGCUAGUAGGUGAGGUAACGGCUCACCUAGGCGACGAUACAUAGCCGACCUGAGAGGGUGAUCGGCCACACUGGGACUGAGACACGGCCCAGACUCCUACGGGAGGCAGCAGUAGGGAAUCUUCGGCAAUGGGGGCAACCCUGACCGAGCAACGCCGCGUGAGUGAAGAAGGUUUUCGGAUCGUAAAGCUCUGUUGUAAGUCAAGAACGAGUGUGAGAGUGGAAAGUUCACACUGUGACGGUAGCUUACCAGAAAGGGACGGCUAACUACGUGCCAGCAGCCGCGGUAAUACGUAGGUCCCGAGCGUUGUCCGGAUUUAUUGGGCGUAAAGCGAGCGCAGGCGGUUUGAUAAGUCUGAAGUUAAAGGCUGUGGCUCAACCAUAGUUUGCUUUGGAAACUGUCAAACUUGAGUGCAGAAGGGGAGAGUGGAAUUCCAUGUGUAGCGGUGAAAUGCGUAGAUAUAUGGAGGAACACCGGUGGCGAAAGCGGCUCUCUGGUCUGUAACUGACGCUGAGGCUCGAAAGCGUGGGGAGCGAACAGGAUUAGAUACCCUGGUAGUCCACGCCGUAAACGAUGAGUGCUAGGUGUUGGAUCCUUUCCGGGAUUCAGUGCCGCAGCUAACGCAUUAAGCACUCCGCCUGGGGAGUACGACCGCAAGGUUGAAACUCAAAGGAAUUGACGGGGGCCCGCACAAGCGGUGGAGCAUGUGGUUUAAUUCGAAGCAACGCGAAGAACCUUACCAGGUCUUGACAUCCCGAUGCUAUUUCCAGAGAUAGAAAGUUACUUCGGUACAUCGGUGACAGGUGGUGCAUGGUUGUCGUCAGCUCGUGUCGUGAGAUGUUGGGUUAAGUCCCGCAACGAGCGCAACCCCUAUUGUUAGUUGCCAUCAUUCAGUUGGGCACUCUAGCGAGACUGCCGGUAAUAAACCGGAGGAAGGUGGGGAUGACGUCAAAUCAUCAUGCCCCUUAUGACCUGGGCUACACACGUGCUACAAUGGUUGGUACAACGAGUUGCAAGUCGGUGACGGCAAGCUAAUCUCUUAAAGCCAAUCUCAGUUCGGAUUGUAGGCUGCAACUCGCCUACAUGAAGUCGGAAUCGCUAGUAAUCGCGGAUCAGCACGCCGCGGUGAAUACGUUCCCGGGCCU